rnacentral:tRNA from 1 species
AGAGACUUAGGCUAACCCAAGACCAAGGGCCUUCAAAGACCUAAGCGAGAGUGAGAAUCUCUCAGUCCCUG